rnacentral:lncRNA from 1 species
GUGGGGUCCACGGGGGCCACCAAGGGGCCCGGGGACUGGGGGGGGUGACCAAGGGGACGUCGGGGACGCGGUGGCACCUGCUCGAGCGCCUCGGCCAGGUGGCGGUCCAGGCGCCCCUCGCGCUUGCGGAGCUUGGCGCUGUCCCACUGCAGCCCCUCCACCGUGGUGCCCAUCUCCAGCACCUUGGUCUCGGCCGACGUCGCCUUGUCCUGCAGCUCCGCCAGCUGGGGGGGGGGCGGGGACAGCGGUCACGUGACCCCCGGCGGGGUUGGUGACGUCAUCCCGUUGGGAGAUGACGUCAUCCCAUGGGGACAUCGAUGGUGUCACCCCGUGGGGACGCAACGUCAUCCCGUGGGGACGCCGGUGACGUCAUCCCGUUGGGAGAUGACGUCAUCCAUGGGGACGUUGGUGACGUCAUCCCAUGGGGAGAUGACAUCAUCCCAUGGGGACAUCGGUGACGUCAUCCCGUUGGGAGAUGACGUCAUCCACGGGGACACUGGUGACGUCAUCCCGUUGGGAGGUGACGUCAUCCCAUGGGGACAUCGAUGGUGUCACCCCGUGGGGACAUCGGUGACGUCAUCCCAAUGGGAGAUGGUGUCAUCCCAUAGGGGCAUUGGUGACGUCAUCCCGUUGGGAGAUGACGUCAUCCCGUGGGGACAUCAAUGGUGUCACCCCAUGGGGACGUUGGUGACGUCAUCCCGUUGGGAGAUGACGUCAUCCCA